rnacentral:rRNA from 1 species
GACGAACGCUGGCGGCGUGGAUUAGGCAUGCAAGUCGAACGGUAUCAUCCUUUCGGGGGUGAGAGAGUGGCGAACUGGUGAGUAACACGUAGGUUAUCUACCCUCAAGACGGGGACAACCCAGGGAAACUUGGGCUAAUACCGGAUGUGAGCAACUUUUAGUUGUUUGAAAGGUGGCGUAAGCUGUCGCUUGGGGAUGAGCCUGCGUCCUAUUAGUUAGUUGGUGAGGUAACGGCUCACCUAGGCAAUGAUAGGUAGGCGGCCUUAACGGGUGGUCGCCCACACUGGGAUUGAGAUACGGCCCAGACUCCUACGGGAGGCAGCAGUCGAGAAUAGUCUACAAUGGUCGGAAGACUGAUAGUGCGACGCCGCGUGAACGAUGAAUCCCUUCGGGGUGUAAAAGUUCUUUUAUAUGUGAGCAGUGCUUCUUAUAUUAACAGUAUGGGGAGAGAGAUAUUAGCAUAUGAAUAAGCAAAGGCUAACUCCGUGCCAGCAGCCGACGGUAAAAA